GAAGCGGCAAGAGCUCAAAUUUGAAAUCUGGCCCCUCCCGGGGUCCGAGUUGUAAUUUGGAGAGGAUGCUUCGGGUGCGGCCCCCGUCUAAGUGCCCUGGAACGGGCCGUCAUAGAGGGUGAGAAUCCCGUCUGGGAUGGGUGGUCGCGCCCGUGUGAAGCUCCUUCGACGAGUCGAGUUGUUUGGGAAUGCAGCUCUAAAUGGGUGGUAUAUUUCAUCUAAAGCUAAAUAUUGGCCGGAGACCGAUAGCGCACAAGUAGAGUGAUCGAAAGAUGAAAAGCACUUUGAAAAGAGAGUUAAACAGCACGUGAAAUUGUUGAAAGGGAAGCGCUUGCGACCAGACUCGCCCGGGAGGGCUCAGCCGGCACUCGUGCCGGUGCACUCCCCCCCGGGCGGGCCAGCGUCGGUUGGGGCGGUCGCUUAAAGGCCCCCGGAAUGUAGCACCCUCCGGGGUGUCUUAUAGCCGGGGGUGUAAUGCGGCCAGCCCCGACCGAGGAACGCGCUUCGGCUCGGACGCUGGCAUAAUGGUCGUAAGCGGCCCGUCUUGAAACACGGACCAAGGAGUCUAACAUCUACGCGAGUGUUCGGGUGUCAAACCCGUCCGCGCAGUGAAAGCGAACGGAGGUGGGAACCCCCCGGGGUGCACCAUCGACCGAUCCUGAUGUCUUCGGAUGGAUUUGAGUAAGAGCGUAGCUGUUGGGACCCGAAAGGUGGUGAUCUAUGCCUGAAUAGGGCGAAGCCAGAGGAAACUCUGGUGGAGGCUCGCAGCGGUUCUGACGUGCAAAUCGAUCGUCGAA
rnacentral:misc_RNA from 1 species